GCGGCGUGCUUAACACAUGCAAGUCGAACGGAAAGGCCCUGCUUUUGUGGGGUGCUCGAGUGGCGAACGGGUGAGUAACACGUGAGUAACCUGCCCUUGACUUUGGGAUAACUUCAGGAAACUGGGGCUAAUACCGGAUAGGAGCUCCUGCUGCAUGGUGGGGGUUGGAAAGUUUCGGCGGUUGGGGAUGGACUCGCGGCUUAUCAGCUUGUUGGUGGGGUAGUGGCUUACCAAGGCUUUGACGGGUAGCCGGCCUGAGAGGGUGACCGGCCACAUUGGGACUGAGAUACGGCCCAGACUCCUACGGGAGGCAGCAGUGGGGAAUAUUGCACAAUGGGCGGAAGCCUGAUGCAGCAACGCCGCGUGCGGGAUGACGGCCUUCGGGUUGUAAACCGCUUUCGCCUGUGACGAAGCGUGAGUGACGGUAAUGGGUAAAGAAGCACCGGCUAACUACGUGCCAGCAGCCGCGGUGAUACGUAGGGUGCGAGCGUUGUCCGGAUUUAUUGGGCGUAAAGGGCUCGUAGGUGGUUGAUCGCGUCGGAAGUGUAAUCUUGGGGCUUAACCCUGAGCGUGCUUUCGAUACGGGUUGACUUGAGGAAGGUAGGGGAGAAUGGAAUUCCUGGUGGAGCGGUGGAAUGCGCAGAUAUCAGGAGGAACACCAGUGGCGAAGGCGGUUCUCUGGGCCUUUCCUGACGCUGAGGAGCGAAAGCGUGGGGAGCGAACAGGCUUAGAUACCCUGGUAGUCCACGCUGUAAACGGUGGGUACUAGGUGUGGGGUCCAUUCCACGGGUUCCGUGCCGUAGCUAACGCUUUAAGUACCCCGCCUGGGGAGUACGGCCGCAAGGCUAAAACUCAAAGGAAUUGACGGGGCCCCGCACAAGCGGCGGAGCAUGCGGAUUAAUUCGAUGCAACGCGUAGAACCUUACCUGGGUUUGACAUGGAUCGGGAGCGCUCAGAGAUGGGUGUGCCUCUUUUGGGGUCGGUUCACAGGUGGUGCAUGGCUGUCGUCAGCUCGUGUCGUGAGAUGUUGGGUUAAGUCCCGCAACGAGCGCAACCCUUGUUCACUGCUGCCAGCACGUUAUGGUGGGGACUCAGUGGAGACCGCCGGGGUCAACUCGGAGGAAGGUGGGGAUGACGUCAAGUCAUCAUGCCCCUUAUGUCCAGGGCUUCACGCAUGCUACAAUGGCUGGUACAGAGAGUGGCGAGCCUGUGAGGGUGAGCGAAUCUCGGAAAGCCGGUCUCAGUUCGGAUUGGGGUCUGCAACUCGACCUCAUGAAGUCGGAGUCGCUAGUAAUCGCAGAUCAGCAACGCUGCGGUGAAUACGUUCCCGGGGCUUGUACACACCGCCCGUCAAGUCAUGAAAGUUGGUAACACCCGAAGCCGGUGGCCUAACCGAUGUGGGGGAGCCGUCGAAGGUGGGACUGGUGAUUAGGACUAAG
rnacentral:rRNA from 1 species